rnacentral:rRNA from 1 species
GCACAAGCGGUGGAGUAUGUUGUUUAAUUCGAAGAUACACGAAGAACCUUAACCAGGUCUUGACAUACCAUUGACAGGCGCAGAGAUGUGCUCUCCUUCGGGCAAUGGAUACAGGUGGUGCAUGGUUGUCGUCAGCUCGUGCCGUGAGGUGUUGGGUUAAGUCCCGCAACGAGCGCAACCCUCAUUGUUAGUUACUACCAUUCAGUUGAGGACUCUAAUGAGACUGCCAACGACAAGUUGGAGGAAGGUGGGAUGACGUCAAAUCAUCAUGCCCUUUAUGACCUGGGCUACAAACGUACUACAAUGGCCAAUACAAAGAGAUGCGAAGCGGUGACGUGAAGCGAACCUCAGAAAGUUGGUCUCAGUUCAGAUUGAAGUCUGCAACUCGACUUCAUGAAGUCGGAAUCGCUAGUAAUCGCAGGUCAGCAUACUGCGGUGAAUACGUUCCCGGGCCUU